GAUGAACGCUGGCGGCGUGCUUAACACAUGCAAGUCGAACGAAACACCUUAUUUGAUUUUCUUCGGAACUGAAGAUUUGGUGAUUGAGUGGCGGACGGGUGAGUAACGCGUGGGUAACCUGCCCUGUACAGGGGGAUAACAGUCAGAAAUGACUGCUAAUACCGCAUAAGACCACAGCACCGCAUGGUGCAGGGGUAAAAACUCCGGUGGUACAGGAUGGACCCGCGUCUGAUUAGCUGGUUGGUGAGGUAACGGCUCACCAAGGCGAUGAUCAGUAGCCGGCUUGAGAGAGUGAACGGCCACAUUGGGACUGAGACACGGCCCAAACUCCUACGGGAGGCAGCAGUGGGGAAUAUUGCACAAUGGGGGAAACCCUGAUGCAGCGACGCCGCGUGAGUGAAGAAGUAUUUCGGUAUGUAAAGCUCUAUCAGCAGGGAAGAAAAUGACGGUACCUGACUAAGAAGCCCCGGCUAACUACGUG
rnacentral:rRNA from 1 species